rnacentral:rRNA from 1 species
GCCUGAACCGUCACGGGGGAAGCGGAUUGCGUUGGAUUGGUGGGCGCUUGUGUGUUCAGCCUUCGGGUGCAUUGGCACAAGUGCUUAUCCGCUGUGAGUUCUCGGGGGCCGAUUUUGGGCCGCUGGGGACUGAGGGCUCCCUUUUGGUGAGGACAGCGGAGUGACGACGCGAUACGACCCGUCUUGAAACACGGACCAAGGAGUCUAGCGCGGGUGCGAGUCGGAGGGUGCAAGCCCGUGGGCGAAGUGAAAGCGAGUGUAAAAACGAGCAGUUUGGGGCGGCAUAAGAUCGUUGAUCUUAAGACCGACCCAGAGCAGUUGCGCUGGGACCCGAAAGAUGGUGAACUAUGCCGGAGUAGGGCAAAGCCAGAGGAAACUCUGGUGGAGGCUCGUAGCGGUGCUGACGUGCAAAUCGCUCGUCGAACUUGGGUAUAGGGGCGAAAGACUAAUCGAACCAUCUAGUAGCUGGUUCCCUCCGAAGUUUCUCUCAGGAUAGCGGGCCGACAAGUUGUUUUGUGCGGUAAAGCGAAUGAUUAGCGCAUUCGGGGGCGUUUAGCCUUCGGGCGAUUCUCAAACUUUCAAUGCGCAAGGGUGCCGCUGCUUAAUUGAGCGGUACCGGUAAAAACGUCGGCCCUGUGGGCCACUUUUGGUAAGCAGAACUGGCGAUACGGGAUGAACCGUAAGCAAGGUUAAGGCGCCAAACUGCCCGCUUAUAGACCCCACAAAA